GAUUUCUAACUUCAGUUUCUUCUGUAAAGUGGGGAUAAACCUUUGGACUGCCUAUAUGCCACUCAAGAGUAUCCUGUGGAAAACAGCACUGCGGACAAGAGAAAAAACUUGAGAGAAGUCAGAUAAAGGCAGACGGGGAUGAUGCAAGCAUCCCGCUGUGCAAUUAGAGAGCUCAGACUGGGUCAAACGUGACUUCCCUUCGUAGUUCGCUUUCCCUUUGGUAGGCUCCUCAGAUUCUACCGACUUCUGGGUAAACAUGGCUGCAAUCUAGAUGUGACUCGCUACCCCUCCCUGGCACCGAACGAAAUAGACUACCUCAAAAGAGCAUAAAAAUUACCUUUGGAAGAACAGAGGGACUCCCCAGUAACCCACAGAAAUGAAGAUCCAACACAUAAUGAGAGAAGCAAGACUACAGGGGGGAAAGAAGGGGAAAAUAUGAAUAAACAACAUAAAAAAGAACAAAGAAAUUACAAC
rnacentral:lncRNA from 1 species